AAUGCUAAUCUUGUUUGUCAAACAGGUGAAUUGGGAUGGGAACUGUAUCAUAGAAAAGAAGACUCUGUAGCUCUUUACAAUGCAAUCAUGGAUGCUGGCCAAAAAGAGGGAAUUGACAACUUUGGAACAUAUGCUCUGAAUGCUUUAAGACUAGAAAAGGGUUUCCGAGCCUGGGGGGCAGAGAUGAACUGUGACACUAAUCCCUUGGAAGCUGGACUAGAAUAUUUUGUAAAGCUAAACAAGGUAUGUCCUAUUAUUUUCCAAAUGUUCCACUAUAUGCUAAGUUACCCUUUCCAGUAUUGGAAAAGAAAAAAUGUCAUUGUCUGCAAAAUAAAACAGGUAUUAGAAAAUAAGCUGAGCAACAUUUUUUACAGUAUACAGUAUUAAGUACAGAUUUAAAUAUAUAUAUAUUUUUUUCCAUGAUUCUUGAUAACAAAAGUAUAUACUACAUUGGGAACUUGCAAAUAUUACAUUUGAUGUUAUCUGUAUAAAAAAUGUCUAUCUGAAUUUGAUGUACUUCUUCUAGAGAAAUAUAUUAUAUGCUUUUUGAAAGCAUAUGUUAUGUAUGCACAAGCUGAACAAUUCCGUACAUAUCGUGAAAAUGUUUUACUUGCUUAGUCUUGUUCAAGGAAUUAUUUGUAGUAUCACCAUCUUUGCCUACUGCUUUGGUACAGGAAAUCAAUAGAUUUUUUAGAAGAACUGCUGAUUGAUAAUAAGGAUACAAGUAAAAUAUCAGUAUAUUAGUAUAUUUGUUAAGAAAAAAAAAAGUUUUUGAUAGAAUUUCUGAAGAGAUCCCUGCUCAUAAUUUGUUCCCAUCUGAAUUGCAGUUUAGAGAUAUGGGAUUAGUUGAACUUAAAUGUGUGAUAAAAGUGAAAACAUUAUCCUAUCUCUGUUUAUUAUUAUCCUCUUUUUCUUAUGACAUUAAUAUUUUAGAAAAUCAAAAUAUAUUAUUGUCUAAGAGAUACAGAAAUUGCUUGUAAUUUCCUAUUCCAAAUAAAUAAACAAGUGUUCAAACUUUUCAUGAAA